UUUUGGGAUGAGAGUCUCUCUCUCUCUCUCUCUCUCUCUCUCUCUCUCUCUCUCACACACACACACACACAGAGAGAGAGAGAGAGAGAGAGAGAGAGGGAGGGGGAGGGAGAGGGGGGGGAGACAGCUAUGA